UACAGAGGGGGCAAGCGUUGUUCGGAAUUACUGGGCGUAAAGGGCGCGUAGGCGGCCUCUUAAGUCGAACGUGAAAUCCCCGGGCUCAACUCGGGAACUGCGUCCGAUACUGGGGGGCUUGAAUCCGGGAGAGGGAUGUGGAAUUCCAGGUGUAGCGGUGAAAUGCGUAGAUAUCUGGAGGAACACCGGUGGCGAAGGCGGCAUCCUGGACCGGUAUUGACGCUGAGGCGCGAAAGCCAGGGGAGCAAACGGG
rnacentral:rRNA from 1 species